rnacentral:lncRNA from 10 species
ACCUCAGCCUCCCAAAGUGCUGGGAUUACAGGCAUGAGCCACUGCGCCCAGCUCAUUGAUAUUUAUUGAAUGCCUCCUAUUUGUCUGGCCCUGGGGAUGGUGGAGCGAAGAAGAAAAACUGAAUCUUGGCUCUCAUGGAGAGGAUGGGGGAGAGCGUUAGCACCAGCAACAGUGACCUCACACAGUGAGGGCACUGGGAAGGAAAUAAAAGAGGCAACACAGAGUGAUAGUGACACAGGAGAGUGGACUGGAAAGGCCGUCCUGAGGAGGAGACAUUUGGCUCAGCCGUGAAUGGUGAGAACAUACUUUUGGAAAGAUCUGGGGAAAGCAACUCCAAGGCAUGGGAACAGCAAAAGCCCUGAAGCAAGAACAGACUUGCAUCUAAAUCAGUAACUCAACCUCUCCUGUGAAUGCGUUUUACGAGGCCAGGAUAUGGUUUGGAGAAAUGCAGAUUCCUGGGCCCAGCAAAUCUGGGGAUGAUGACAAGGCAUCAUCGUGGGACACCAGCUUAGCAAUAGCACCCCCAGAAUAAGACUGCUUCCAGUUCAAUAAACCGCUACAAAGAGUCUAUUAAUGGUGGUAUCCAUCUGGACCUGCGGCCAUAGAGAAGAGACCCAAGCACAGUGGUUAUUAAAAAGCCCAUAUCCUUCAAAAAUUAUGAGUAGAUAUUAUAAAUUCCAAAAUGAUGAAGAGUUCAGGAUGAGAAGAUGGGGACUCACCCAGAACAAAGCAGCACACUGAUUUAUCCUUUGUCUCCUGACAGCAUUCCUUCCCCCGCUGGUCAUCCCGCCCAAUCACACAUGUGACAAGUUAUAGCGCUGUAUGAAAGGAUACUGAAAAUUGGAAAGAUUGCUAAAUGUCGCCCUGAAAGGUGUUUCCUGUGGCCCAUGAAUCUCAUGCAAAAUCAUCCCCUUGGAGAAAAGCUUGGGACAAAUAGCUAGGUACCUGAAAAUAGUAAACUCCCCCAAAUUACUGCUAGCCAAAUGAGUCUUUGAUAUCUCUGAAACUGCCCCAGAACCCAAACUCAAUAUACUAAAAAAAAUGGGCUGCUAGCGAAGUCAUCGGCCACGCAUUGAGCACUUUUGAGUCUAAGACGUUCCCAUGUAUUAUAUCAUCGCCUCUUUCCUGCAGGCACCUGAGUCCCGGAGCUCUGGUGGUUUUGCCCAGGGCCAGCCAGGAGACACAGUGUGGUAGUG